AUUGAACGCUGGCGGCAGGCCUAACACAUGCAAGUCGAACGGUAACAGGAAGAAGCUUGCUUCUUUGCUGACGAGUGGCGGACGGGUGAGUAAUGUCUGGGAAACUGCCUGAUGGAGGGGGAUAACUACUGGAAACGGUAGCUAAUACCGCAUAACGUCGCAAGACCAAAGAGGGGGACCUUCGGGCCUCUUGCCAUCGGAUGUGCCCAGAUGGGAUUAGCUAGUAGGUGGGGUAACGGCUCACCUAGGCGACGAUCCCUAGCUGGUCUGAGAGGAUGACCAGCCACACUGGAACUGAGACACGGUCCAGACUCCUACGGGAGGCAACAGUGGGGAAUAUUGCACAAUGGGCGCAAGCCUGAUGCAGCCAUGCCGCGUGUAUGAAGAAGGCCUUCGGGUUGUAAAGUACUUUCAGCGGGGAGGAAGGGAGUAAAGUUAAUACCUUUACUCAUUGACGUUACCCGCAGAAGAAGCACCGGCUAACUCCGUG
rnacentral:rRNA from 1 species